UUGAGAUAAAAACCAUGUACAAAUUACAUCAAGUUAUUAAUGAGACCAAUGUCAACGGGUACAAAUAAGCUCUUCCAUCUCUUGG